AGCUCAGAUGAGACUCAAGUCCUGGGUGCAGCCUGGAAGUCUGAUUCCAGAGGAACAAAGAGACAAAUACCAACGCGGAUUCUGGCAGAGGGGAACAAUACAGGUGCCCAGCUGAAAGAGUCUUUAUCAGCACAAGACCAAAGAAGCUUCCAUUUGCUAUUAAGUUUUGAGUUGGGAACUCUAUUCAGAGAACAACUACUAUGAAAGCUCUACGUGACUCCUUCAGAUGCAAGAGUGAGGCCAGCUCAGCUGGGAUAAGCUCCUACUACAGAAAGAUAUACUGCCCCAUGGUUCAGAGACACAGAUACAGACCCACUUCAUGGCAGGAUGCUUACCUUGGAUGCUUACAUUUGGUGUCAAGAUGAAGGGGGGGGGGCCUUUCCUGGAUGUCACUGGAAUGCCACAGCAGGCCUGUAGAAGUCACAUUGCAGGAAAGAUGUUGGGCUUCCCAGGAGGAAAAGGGAAAGGGCUGGGGAUGAAAGAUCAAGCUCCCAGACCAUGAGGGUGAGACCCCUGAAAGCCGCCCUUUUGGAAACAACAUCCCCAGAAGAGAGAAAACUAAGGUAGAGGAAAUCCAAAAGUUGCAUGCUUUAUUUCAAGACCAAAGGUGAAGACUGCCACACAGGGAUGUGUCAUGCGAAUGCCUCUAGCCCAGCCUCCCAGGAGCUGCCAACCUGCUUCUGGGCAGCCGUGAUAACAUUCAGUGCAGACUGUCCACUGCUGGCCGAGGGCAUUUUGCUUGAAGAGGGUGUCCUUUUUGGGGAUGGGAAGAGAACAGUGUCUAAGCAAAACAUUUGAAGAGCAGUGAUGCAGAGCCUCUGCCUCAGAGUACAGCCACAGUGGGGCAGUGACAGGGACAGCCACCAGAAGCCUCCAGACCCAUUCACAACCAACCAGGAAGGGGUUGGGACUGAGGAUGACAACCCCGCCAUCAGCAUGUGUGCACAUAAGAGGAGAGGACACCAGCCCCCAGUGGAAACUGCAGAGUUUAGCAUCCCAGUACCAACAUCUUAUGUAUGAUAAUCUUGGCCUCCAACUGUCCCUCCUUUGGAGUGUGCGUGUGUUGAGGAGAAAGGGGUAGAUAGAUAUAG